rnacentral:snoRNA from 1 species
GAGCAAUGAAGACUACUUGUAAUUGGUCUCGUUCGUCGUAACGGCAUUCCAAUGCCUUGCCGACUAUCUUGUUAUAUCACCACCCAUUGAUAAGUGUUC